UACGUAGGGGGCAAGCGUUGUCCGGAAUCAUUGGGCGUAAAGCGCGUGUAGGCGGUCCGGUAAGUCCGCUGUGAAAGUCCAGGGCUCAACCCUGGGAUGCCGGUGGAUACUGUCGGGCUAGAGUACGGAAGAGGCGAGUGGAAUUCCCGGUGUAGCGGUGAAAUGCGCAGAUAUCGGGAGGAACACCAACGGCGAAGGCAGCUCGCUGGGACGGUACUGACACUAAGGCGCGAAAGCGUGGGGAGCGAACAGG
rnacentral:rRNA from 1 species